AGAGUUUGAUCCUGGCUCAGGAUGAACGCUAGCUACAGGCUUAACACAUGCAAGUCGAGGGGCAGCAUGAAGUUUGCUUGCAAACUUUGAUGGCGACCGGCGCACGGGUGAGUAACACGUAUCCAACCUUCCCCUUAGUAGGGCAUAGCCCGGCGAAAGUCGGAUUAAUACCCUAUGUUAUUCGUAGAGGACAUCUGAAAUGAAUCAAAG
rnacentral:rRNA from 1 species